ensembl:lncRNA
GUUGUCAUAAAUCCAACUCAAUCUUGAAAAGAAAUAGGAAAAUACACACUCUAUGCAUGAAAACAACAAAUCAGGUUAUUACAUUAAAGUAAGUUUAAAAUAGUCAAACAAACUCAGAUAUCACGUAACAUUUUGGCAGCAGAGAAGGCCUAAAAAUGCAAGAUUGUGAUGGCCAAAGCACAUUUUCACUCUUUGUAACAGGUGGUUGCUAUCUGAGUCAAGACUUCUUCCUGCAGCACUGUAGCUGUGGAACGGCCGGCCUGGCCUUUCAGGAACAGAAAAGACACUCCAGGAGUGAGUUCCUGACCACAUCCAUGAGUGGCACCCUCUCUGACCUCUCCACCAUCCCUGAGGUCACACGUCACACAGGACUCACAGCCAUGAGAGAGAGUGACCAAGGUAAUAACCAGCCCCUGGUGCCCCUUUGUAGGAGGGGCCUGAAUCGGAGGAGCUACACAGAGGGAGAGACACGCUCCUCUCUCUUUGACAGUACAGAGGGUCUCUCUGCC